rnacentral:pre_miRNA from 1 species
UUCAACAUUUGAUCAUCCGUUUUUUUUUAAAUAUUUUUGUUAUUAGUAUUUUUGUUGUUAUUAGAUGAUAAAAUAUGAAUAAUACUUUACGCGUAUUAUUUUUUUACUUUUUUCAUUAAAAAAAUUAAAUAAGAUGAACGGUCAAACGUUGGACUUAAAACCCAC